GUUGUCUUCUCCUGGGCUUAGCUGCCUUUUAGUUUGGAGGUGGGGGAGGGGGCAGAGUGAGGUGAUGAGGUCAUCAUUGCUCAAGUGUGAACUCAGAAUCCUCACCAGUUGCAGAGGUGGGUCCCGCCCCUGUGGGAGAAAGUGGAGAGCUCGCCGGGCGUGUCGCCACUGCGUUGCCCAGAGUGUUAGAGACAUGGCAUGGCGAGGAAGACCUACCGAGACCUGGAGCUGGGGCUUGCCGCGUUCACAGAGGCCAGCUGAAAGGCCCCAGCACCAGCCAGGAGAGAACUCGGAGUGCGUGAGGUUGCAUUCUUCCCUCCACUCAGUGAGCUCCAGUGCUGGCAGAGGGGUCUGGCCGCGGGACCUGGCCACACAGGAUCUCUUUGGCACUCUCAGCCUCUAAAUCCUCCUGAGACAUGCCGGGAGUCUGGAACUUUCUAAAUAUUUUGUAUACAUUUUAAUUUUUAACUUUCAAAUGUUACAGGUCAAGGACUGGCUGUUGUGCAUUUUCUAUUAGGCAGAUACCUGAGGACCAGUUCAAUGAUGUUUGUGGGUUUCAAACUCAAAUCAGAGUCGUGUUGGAGGGUCCUGGUCUCAUUCUUGUCACCUCGAUCUCUGUAGAACCCUGAGGAAUUGGGCAUAGAAGACGGUGGAGGGGGAGUGCAAGUGCCACACAUCCAGCUGCAGGUGUAAGAUGGCUCUGUCACUGGAGUCUAUGCUAGUCAGUUAUCAUCAAUUUUUAAAAAUGAUUUAUUUAUUUAUUUAUCUAUUUGAAAGAGAGAGAGGGAGAACGUUCUUCUAAUCACUUGUUCACUGCCCAAACAGCCCUCAACAGUUGGGCUGAGCCAGGCUAAAACCAGAAGCCUGGAACUCCAUCUGGGUCUCCCAUGUGUGUGGCUGGGACUCAGGUACUUGGGCCAGGUACUUGCUGUCCCAGGUCCCAGGUACUCAGGUACUUGCUACCUCAGGCCCAUUAGCAGGAAGCUGGAUCAGAAGCAGAGUAGCCGAGACUUCAACCAGGCACUCUGAUGUGGGAUGUGUGUGUCCAAAGCUCUGGCUUAGCCCACUGCACACAACACCCACACCUCUGGAUCACUUUAUAACCAUGCAGGCACCAAAAUCCCAUCAGCAAGACCCACUUGUUUCCGUCUCGGUACCUGUGAUGAGAUGGAAAGACGCGGGCAGAUUUGUAUUCAUGGUGUGAACUGCCCCGCCUGCUUCCCUGAGCAGAGCGCCAGAUGGAGUCUACCCUGAACGCAUCUCCAUGAAUGCUCACGGUGCUAAUUGGUGCUCAGUGAUGUGCCCAUGGCGAGGGGGGAUAAUGAUCGUGAUAAUGACAAUGAUGACGACGAUGAUGGCAGUGAUGACGACACUGAAUUGCAAAUAGUGACUCCAGGGUGAAGACAGUCCUGAGCCCAGAGACAUAAGCAAGAAAGAAUGAAGGAAUAACCCUCAGGACUUUUACGGAGUGUUUCUCUGGGGUCGGAUUAAUGUUUUAAAAAGCCUAAUCACUCUAUUACUACUUAUUAAAAGAACCAAUCUCAGCUGCUGACCCUAUGGGCUGGGCUAAAAUGACAUAACAAUAACAGAAAGUGGAUUGAUGAUUGUUUUUUUAACUAUCUGUGUGUUUUUGAAAGAUAGGAUUUAGUUAUCUACUAUUUCUCUCAAAGUAAAUAAGCUAUCAGAGAUGAGCUAUUAGCAGCUGAGGACAGACUAGAAGCCAGAGAUGGUGUAUGCCCAGUAAUAUCCGAGGGAACCUCAAUGUGUUUGUGCAAAGAGGGGGGGUGCAUACGUUUUCCUAAAGCCAUGCACAGUUUGUUUAAAUUCUGCAUUUUCAUGACUUUUUAAAUUUGAGAAGCAGACACACACACACACACACACACACGACAGUUUCCUUCUCAAGUACCUUCAAUGACUAGGGCUAGGCCAGGAGCUCAAUCCAGGACUCUCUUGUGGCUGGCAGGAGCCCAAGUACUUGAGCCAUCAUGGCUGCCUCCCAGAGUCUGCAUUGGCAGGAAGCUGGCGUCAGAGGCCUGACCCAGAGCUCAAACCUGAGAACUCCAGUGUGGGAGAUGAGCAUCCUAACUCGUGCCUUAACCAUAGGCAACCAUGCCUGCCCCUUCGUGACCUUUUCUUUUUUCCUUUAUUUAUUUAUUUAUUUUUUUUUGACAGGCAGAGUUAGAUAGUGAGAGAGAGAGAGAGACAUAGAGAAAGGUCUUCCUUCCGUUGGUUUAUCCCCAUAAUGGCCGCUACGGCUGGCGCGUUGCGGCCGGCGCACUGUGCCGAUCCAAAGCCAGGAGCCAGGUGCUUCCUCCUGGUCUCCCAUGCAGGUGCAGGGAGCAAGGAAUUGGGCCACAGCAGAGAGCUGGACUGGAAGAGGGGCAACCGGGACAGAAUCCGGCGCCCCAACCAGGACUAGAACCCAGGGUGCCGGCGCCACAGGCGGAGGAUUAGCCUAGUGAGCCGUAGCACCGGCCGACCUUUUCUUUUUAAUUUUUACUUGUGUAUUUGAUUUGAGAGGCAGCAAGAAAGAGAGGGAGAGUGGGGGUGGGGAUGGUCUUCUAUCCUCCCAUCCACUGGUUCACUCCCCAAAUGUAUACAACCACCAGGGCUGGGCCAACCCAACGUCAAGAGCCUGGAACUCAUUUUGGGUCUCCCACGUAGGUGGCAGAGAACCACGCACUCGAGCUGUCAGCUGCUGCCUUCUGGGAUCGCAUUAGCAGGAAGCUGGAGAGGAGUGGAGGAAGGCCUCGGACACAGGCAUUUCAAGUUGUGGAUGGGUACGGGGAUCCAGGCAUCCCAAGUGGCCAUUUAACCCCUAUGCCAAAUACUCAUCUCUUUCAUGAAUUUUUUUUUAAUUUAUUAUUAUUUUUUUAUUUUUGACAGGUCUUUCAUGAAUGGUUCUUAUUUUAUUUUAUUUUUUAUUUAUUUUUUUAUUUUUGACAGGCAGAAUGGACAGUGCGAGAGAGAGAGAGAGACAGAGAGAAAGGUCUUCCUUUGCCAUUGGUUCACCCUCCAAUGGCCUCCGCGGCCGGUGUGCUGUGGCCAGCGCACCGCGCUGAUCCGAUGGCAGGAGCCAGGUGCUUCUCCUGGUCUCCCAUGGAGUGCAGGGCCCAAGCACUUGGGCCAUCCUCCACUGCACUCCCUGGCCACAGCAGAGAGCUGGCCUGGAAGAGGGGCAACCGGGACAGAAUCCGGCGCCCCGACUGGGACUAGAACCCGGUGUGCCAGCACCGCAAGGCGGAGGAUUGGCCUGUUGAGCCACGGUGCCGGCCUCAUGAAUGUUUUUAAAGACCCUUAGGAGUAUAGCUUCCACACUUUUUUUUGCACCAAAAUGAACUUGCCUUUUAACUCCAUUUUCCAUGAUCCUUGUGUAAAAUAGAAGCAAAUAAACAAAGUUGAACACAUCGAAAAGUCAAUAAACAUAAGGAAAAACUACUUGAUCUUUUGUUAAAAUUAAAAAUGAAACAGACCUUAAGAGAAUGGAAAGAUCACCAAAGUCUCGUGUUCCAGUCCUACCUCUGCCACUCCAGCCAGUCAUACAAUCCUCAGAGUGUCUUCUUGUCAGCUAGAAAUAGCAGCACCCACCCAAGGGGUUGUUGGAGGAUUGAGAGGGCAGAAACAAAGUGUCACGCACAACGCUUGGUAUAGGACAUGCUUCAGCAAUGGUUAAUAAUAUCCUGAUGCUACUUGGUUGGCAAGGCAGAGCUGGAGUAAGAGGAUCCGACCAUGAACUUGCUAUAUGAACGAGAGGGGCUUUCGCAGAACUGAGAAGUUCUUUUUGAGUAUGAAGCGUUUUUAAAAAGUUCAAGGAAAAUGUGACUGGGGAAAAAUGCAUCAUCUUCAAAAUUUCUCUGCACCCCAAUAAACUUAUCUUUAAAUCCUAUUUUUCCAUAAACUUUUUAAAUACCUACAUGUUCCAGGGCUCUAAGUUGAAAUAUGUUAGUUCCGGGAAACAGGAUAUUGAGAUGAAGAAAGAAGAUCAAGGAUAAACUUUUUUCAUGUCUGGGUCCCCCAUACACACCAUUCUAGCCUUAAAGUUACCAAAAUACAAGGAUUGCAAGGAAAUGCCUUCAGGAGGGGUGCUGUGAAGAUGAAUAGUGCAAGAUGCCACAAGUGCUGUUCAGGUGCUUGGACGUCCUCAAGAAGAAGGAUCUGCAAACCCAGCAAGUCAGCAACAAAGUAGCACUCUGGCCCUUCCUAGGAAGGACAGACUCUUUCCCAGGCUACCUAGAAUUUCCAGAGUGCCUUGCCCCUUUGGACUUGACAACAUGACAGAUUUAUUUCCCCACCCAUUUCCCUUGCUUUCAAAGUUACCAUUUCCUCCUGUGUACCCUCUGCCCCCCAUUGGUGAUGGAGAAACCUGGGAACCACAGCGCUCAAGAACUUCUGCGGGGGGAUUUUCAGAGGGAUGUGGGUGCAGGGUUCUUAAAGGACGGUGACCAGCCAGCACAGACUUCAUUUUCUAGAAAUGACAGACUCCCAGCUGAUCUUCUGAGCAUAUCUGAGCAAUCAACACCCUGAAUGCCAAGCACAUCAGAUCCAUUCGUCCACACUCCAAGACCCUCUGGGGGAGGCACCGUCAUUUCUUCCCCCUAAAGGAGCUCAGACACCACCACUUCCGGUGACUCUCCCACCUGUUUGAUGGACUGCCCCUUCCCACUCACGACCAGACUCACUGAAGAACCCUGCGAGUGCGUUCCCCAGCUGCGUCUGGACAACUCCAGCGCCGGAGAUGGCUCCGGCGCUUCGGGAAGAAUGGUCAUUAUGUGGAGCCUGAAUCGCCCUUUUUGUGGCAGCCUGUGACUCCUAGCAUCAGGCUGCACAGAGCAAGCUUGGUUCCCUGGUGCAGACACCCUUUUUCCUGUGCCGUCCACCUCUCUCUGAUCUUUCUGAGCUAGGAACUGCCACUUCCUGCAACUGCGCUUCGCAUGACCUGGUUCUGAGUCCCUGUGCCUUCCUGUUGCGAGUCUGACGCUCUUCUUAAAGGGCCGUGGCCCAAGAGGAAAUGUCAGUGGCCCACGUCUGCUCGCUCCACCACAGUGGCCUGGCUUCUCACUUCUUCCACGUUCCUCCUUAUACUCGAGGACCUCCAAGACGCAGCGUGCAGAGUGGCUGGCACAGCUUCUGCUUUGGGGUGACCCGCCAAGCUUGAGGUCAGAGACUGAAUGUUUGUGCUUCACCCCAGGAGAGCCCUCACCACGAGCCACUGAUAUUUUAUGCAGCAGCCCAAGCUAUCUCAGCUACUUUAUUUAUUUAAGAUUUAUUUAGUGAUUUGAAAGGCAGAAUUACAGAGAGAGAGACAGAGAUCUUCCAUCUGAAGCCAGGAGCCAGGAGCUUCGUCUGGGUCUCCCACAUGGGUGGCAGGAGCCCAAGCACUUGGGUCAUCUUCUGCAGUCUUUCCCAGGUGCAUUAGCAGGGCAUUGCAUCGGAAGUGGAGCAGCUGGGACUAGAACUGGUGCCCAUAUGGAAUGGCCAGUUGUUGCAGGUGGAUGCUUAACCUGCUGCACCUCUGUAUGUAAUUCUGAUUUUCAAAUAAGUAAAUAAAUAAAUAAAUAAUUUUUUUAAAAAAUAAGAGGCCAAAACCUUAAUGUCCCAGCACAGAAUGACUGUCCUCCACAUUGGCACCAAUUAGUCAGCCAAUACUAACAAACUCAUUCUUCUUCAUUCCCAUGAGAUAAAUGGCCAAACCAUCAAUUUACUAUAGGGGUACUUCAAAAAGUUUAUGGAAAAAUGGAAUUAAAAGUGGGAGCUGAUUUUGGUGCAAAAAAUCGGGGGGUGCAAUUUUCCUCAUAACACCUGGAAAAUGCAUAUUAUGAAAAAAACUGCACGGAUUUUAAAAUCAAGUUUUCCACCAUAAUAAGUUCAGGCUUUCAGUUCCAUGUUCCAUAAACUUUUGGAAGUACUCUCAUAUAUAUUAUCAAACAUCUUGCUAAACUUGACCCAUUCUUUGUCUUCUACAUUUCCCUGACUGACUGGUACAUGUCAACCCUGUUCAUGAAGGUAGCAAAGUGUUCUCAUGGGUCAUGCCAUUGACACACGUGUCCACCAUCUGUGGUCAAGCAACGGGCUUCAGUGUGCAGAGGCCACUGUUUUCCGUGGCCCUGUUUUCCACGUCUUUGCCGUGGCAUAAUGACCUGUAAUUAUAUGUGUUGUCAUCCACCUGUUGGCCCUAGCACCAGAUAAAGAGCUGUUGGACUUCCCGGUUGAAUGUCAGAUGCCUCUGAAUAUCUCAGAGUUAGUGCAGUAUCCUCCUCAGCAGCUUCUCUUUUGAAUGAAUGAGUGAAUUUUACAUUUUAUUCCCACUAAUUUACUUCCAAUUUUUAUAUAAGAUGAAAGCAGACCCUACUGUGAGUAUUGGCAGACUGUGUUUCGAAGGCAUGAGGGAAGUGGUAUGCCUGGACAAAGCUCCCUGAUCCCCACACUUUCUUAGUCACUGCAUAUAAAACUGAGCUCCUUGGAAAAAGACAUUCUUUGAAAUGCAGUGUGAUGAAAACACUAAGAAGUGAUGACACAGUUCUGAGACAUCACAGCUUCCUUAGAUCUGUUGUAAGGGCCAAAUCAGACACAGGAACGGUGGUUUUACAAAAAAAAUAUAUUGCCUUAGUGGAGUCAUCUAGUCAGCAUAGCAUGCAGUAGGGUUUUCUUUAAGGAUCUUACUUCUGAUGAGACACCCUGUGACGACACUGAGUGCAUCAGUAGGACCUGGGCGAGCUGGACAAGGGAAUGGAGCUUCCCUCUGUGUCACUGCUUUCCUGGACAUCAGGACUGGUCACACACCGAGGGACUCUCUGAUACAUCAGACAGAGCGGUGAGCAGGUGUGAGGAGUGCGGCCAGGGCCUCUGGCUUCCAUGGGCUGAGCGGCUUUCUCGCGGGUCAUGUGUUUCCUGUUUCUUAGAAGCCAGACGAGUUGCUCAGAUACUCUAGCUCUCACUCCCUGAGCAGAAGCCCACAGCCAGGUCCACACCCCUCUUCCACAAGAAGCCUAAGGCAGCGGUUCCCACCUGGGGUGACUCCCCCCCUACCUCUGACCCCAGGAAUAUCUAGAAGUUUCCAGAGACAUUUUUGGUAAGGAUCGGGGUACAAACGAAUAUAGUACAAUGAACAAGGCAGACUCCCUCCAUCGACAAAGAAUUAUCUGACUCAAAAUGGCAAUAUCAAGAAAUAAAACUUCAUGUUACCAGUAUCAGGAGCAUCCCUAUUGGGCAUUCUCAGUCUAGGACUAUGGCUCCGGCCCCAAAGCUAACAGUGCUGGUUCAUUUUAAAGGGUCCUAAUUGCCUGCUGUGCAUCUGGGGAGUAAGUCACAGGUGACAGCACAGGAAGACAGUUGCGAGGCAAAGGUGCCAGGCCUGAGUGCCUGACCCAGUGGACGGAUUUGGAUGGCAGUCUGAAUGGAAGUAGAAGAGUUCUGGAAUGCUCUCUACGGCUAUAGGCCUGCGUUUGGGGCAGCCGACUGCAGGGGAUCUCGAUGACAUCCACUGGGGGCAGCCUCCUUCUCUACCGAUGGAGAGAGGCAGCUCGGUAGGAUCUUCUCUUGUUAAGAUUUAUUUGUUAUUUUAUUUGAAAGGCAGAGAGAGAGAGAGAGAAAGAGAAAGAAAGAGAUCUUCCUUCUAUGGGAUCAUUCCCCAGAUGGCAGCAACAGCCAGAGCUGGGCCAGGCUGAAGCCAGGAGUCUGGAAUUCUACCUGGGUCUCCCACAUGGGUGGCCGGGGCCCAAACACUCCGGCCAUCUUCUGCCGCAUUAGCAGGGAGCUGGAUCGGAAGUGGAGCAGCUGGGACUCUAACUGGCACCCAUAUGGGAUGGCAGCGCAGCAGGCGGCGGCCGCUCAGUAGGAUCCUGUAAGGAGCACCAGUGAGCCAUGUUCAUGGUCAUAUAUGGGCUGUGAAUGACAACUUUUAAAGAUGUAACUGGGAACCGUGAUGAUUCAGGAUGGGAGGCGGACGUGGAACAAACCCCACCUGGCAUAAGUGCUGCUUUCUGUGCUGACUCCGGAAACAGCUCAUCCUCUCGGAGUGAAAGGGGAAGUCCUGCUGCCUGAACCCCCCUACGCUGUCCCCACACUGCUAUCGUUUCUGAUAUGGCCAAUAUUUUAAACAUCACGAGUUUCAUGCAUCAAGGGGAAGCUGGUAGAUUCAAUGAAGCCCCGAGAUACCCCCUGAGAGAUGAUUAUAACUCUAAUUAAAACUGGGACACGACAGAUGAGAAUCUUAUGAGACUCUCUAAGCAAGUGGCGUUUGUUCGUCUUUCAUGGAGAAGAUUACUUUGCUUGUGUCACUCUGGGCCCUUACCAGGAGUAAAAGAUAGGGUCACCAAAUUCCAGCACACUCUGAGAUCUUACUAAAGACCAGGCAAUGCUGUAAAUUGUAAGGGACAAGAAAGGUGAUCAGCCAAGCCAUGCUUCCAUUUCUUAUGUUUCCAGGACUUGUAUUUAGCAGCUCUGUGAUAACACACAGCCUGGACUAUCCGAGGCAUCACUUGAAUGCAUUCUAUCUCAGCGUUGGGUCUAGGUAUGGAAAGAACAAAGGAUGCAUGCAUGGGGCAAAGCCACCAGCAGGAAUGCAGCCUCGGAGGUUUUGGGGACCAGGCAGGUAUGGCAGGUCAGAAUAGGUAGUGCGGACAUGUGCUUAGGUAACUGAACAAAAUUUAAACCAUUAUCAAGUGGGUCUUGGAGUGCAUGGACUACGGACACCAAGGAGAUAGAGAGGCCAGUGUGAAGGGCGCAGGGCUAUAAGGUGUCACUUCUAUCACAAGGCCAGCCGUCUGAUCUUGAUGGUGCUGGCCAGUUGCAGGGGGAUUCCAGGCUCCUGAGAUCCUGAAAGGGGGCUCACCUCACUUGGUAUUCAAGGUGGGGGUGCAGACACAGAGCGUAGUCAGAAAGAGCGGGAAGCAGAAGGGUGUGGCUUGCUGGAAGGCCCUCGGGUUGGUUAGGGCAUCCUCAUUUGGAUGAAACAUGGCCCCAGGUUCAGACACCCACACACAUCCAAAGGCAAAGGCUGUGUCUCUCCUCCUGAUGACAGACCUGCCUCUCCUAAUCUACACAAUCUGUUGCCAAGGAGAAAUCAAAUAGGACAGAGCUGGGCCAACACAAAGCCAACUGCGUCACUGAACAAAGUCUCUAAUGUAACCACAUCAGGGACCCCACAGGGAGCAAACCACAGAUGGGGUGGCCACGAUGCCCACUAACCCGGCACUGACUGCCACGUCCCGCGGCGGGUCUCUGACGGCAGAAGUCCCAUGGCUUACGUUUCAUUCCUAGACAGGAUAGAUGACCCAGGCUCCUUGCAGACCCAGGGCCUGAGAUGCCAUGUUGCCCUGCGAGGAAACGUUUCGUAACGCACGUGACUCUUUUGUUAAUGACUGGCAGGAUCUGGAGCUUCCGCCAGCCGGAGCGUCCGGACCUGGGCAGUUGACUGCCAGAUAGAGGGUGAGGAAAUACUCCUGAACUUACACCAUGCUGAGGCUCAUCUCCAGCCUUACUUCCUUCUCCAGUUCCAGGCACAGUGCACAAAAGAUCUACCGGUGGCUCCCGCAUCGCCUGCAUCUUCCUUGCCCGCUCUGCGUCAGUGUCAGCCUGACACAGCCUCUGAGCGUCCCCUCCGGGCCGAGUUCCUUUCUCCCCACUCUGCACUCCACGUUCACACAACUCCAUCUACAGCACAUGCGGGGCUAUCUGUCCACGUGAUGAUAUUUUCAGGGCAGGAAAGUACUGUGAACUCAGUACUUUGGCUCUGAGUACUGAUAGAAGAGGACGGGGUGCUAGCUCCGUGACCGUCAUGGAGGCUGUGUCCCAUACAGGUUUGUGGGAGGAGGAAGGGAGGGGAGGGGGCAAGGGAGAAGAGAAAAAGGCAGAAAAGGAGCCGAAAGAAGCAAAAAAGACCCCUGUAUCCAGGCAGAGAGCAGGGUCCGCCUUUUUCAGAAAGGACACGGGCCAGGCAGCGUGGGGGGGCCCACCGCGUGGAGGUCCACACAGGAGCUGGCGUGGCCUUCGGUUGCUCCCGGGCUGGCUCUCCCUGUCCUCGCUGGCGGCUCCUCAGGGAAUCCCUCUUUCUUGGACCAGUGAGUGACUUACCUUCCUGGAAGGCCAGCACACUGUGCCGAGUGG